UAUCAAGGGGCCGGCCCCUAGCAGGUGCCUGAAGGCCAGCUUAGUGCAGAAAGUACCCGUCGGAGGAGACUGGUGCCAGGAAAGGACAAAUGGAAAAUGGAAUUAGGGGCCAGACUCGGAGGCAAGGUGAUGUGGAGACACAGAAAGGGGCGAUCUGGUGGGGGGGAGAAAUUGGCGUUCAAGAGUGGGACAGGUUGCAAAUGACUUGUGGAUCUCACGGGAUAGGUACUGUACAGUGUGUGAGUAUGGGGAGGUAGGUACUCUGGGGUCUGGGGAGGAGCAGUCUUACCAAGACUAUGGUUAAGAAAGCAGAUGGCUGAAUGGGAAAGGGAAAGAGGGAAAUUUGGGAUCAAGCCAUCCCAGACCAGAACCAUCUUCCAGCUCGGAAUCCCUUCUCUCCAGCCUCAUUGCUAUAACCUGGGUCAGAGCAUGCUGCUCCCUUUCCUCAUGGUUUCCCCUUUUGUGGUUGCAGCAGAGUUCACACUAGCCAGUGUUCUGGUAGAUGGAAAGAUUGCCCCACCUCUCCCGGGCCACCCCCAUCUUUGUCGUUUCCCCUUUUUCACAUUUUGCCCUUUCUAGGUAGCUGGAGUCUAGCUUCCAGGUCAGUGCCAGCCGUAAAGGAGGGCACAGGGGAGCAGGUGGCUAUGCAAAAGUCACUUCCAGGCUGUGGACUCAGGGCUGAGAAAUAGGACACCUGCCAGUGCCCAUUCCAGCAUUGACCUGGCUGGGGCAGCCUUGGGUCAAGGCCUCUGUGUAGUCCUGGUUUCCACCAACAUCAGGAAGGGGAGCUGCAGGAGCCACCUAGGCAGGCACCCCAGGACUGUGCCAGGCUGGAAAACACGGCUUCAAAGCAGUCUCUCCACCACCCAAGUUUGGGAAACCAUGCAAAAGACCUAGAAGGCAAAUUAACUUUAUGGAUGUCACAAAACUGAGGACUGUAAACACAAUGGGUGUCUGUAUUAGGGUUCAAAGAGAUCUUAAAAAACUGGUAUGUGCAGUGCUUAACAGCAUGAGGCUCCAGACCGAAAUGAGAAUGCAGACUGUGGGAUCGCUGGGGCAUUCCUCUCCCAGCCUCAGUGCACCGUCUGUAAAACAGAGGCAUUAUCACCCUGGACUCAAACUGUCUGGAGACUGGGCUGGGCUAAGAGGCUCUUCAGUUAAUAAGUUACAGCAGGGACUUCCCUGGUGGCGCAGUGGUUAAGAAUCCACCUGCCAAUGCAGGGGACACGGGUUCGAGCC